rnacentral:tRNA from 1 species
GGCCGUGUGGCUCAAUGGCAGAGCGUCUGACUACGAUUCAUCACGGAAUCAGAAGGUCGCAGGUUCGACCCCUGUCUCGGUCA